rnacentral:rRNA from 1 species
AUUGAACGCUGGCGGCAGGCUUAACACAUGCAAGUCGAGCGGAGAUGAGGUGCUUGCACCUUAUCUUAGCGGCGGACGGGUGAGUAAUGCUUAGGAAUCUGCCUAUUAGUGGGGGACAACAUUCCGAAAGGAAUGCUAAUACCGCAUACGUCCUACGGGAGAAAGCAGGGGAUCUUCGGACCUUGCGCUAAUAGAUGAGCCUAAGUCGGAUUAGCUAGUUGGUGGGGUAAAGGCCUACCAAGGCGACGAUCUGUAGCGGGUCUGAGAGGAUGAUCCGCCAAACUGGGACGGAGACACGGCCCAGACUCCUACGGGAGGCAGCAGUGGGGAAUAUUGGACAAUGGGCGGAAGCCUGAUCCAGCCAUGCCGCGUGUGUGAAGAAGGCCUUAUGGUUGUAAAGCACUUUAAGCGAGGAGGAGGCUACUUUAGUUAAUACCUAGAGAUAGUGGACGUUACUCGCAGAAUAAGCACCGGCUAACUCUGUGCCAGCAGCCGCGGUAAAAC